rnacentral:rRNA from 1 species
UCGAGGAUCUUUUGCAAUGCCCGAAAGGGUGACAAUGCGACGCCGCGUGUGCGAUGAAGGUUUUCGGAUCGUAAAGCACUGUCGACCGGGAUGAAUCUCGGGAGGCUUAAUAAGUCUUCUGGGUGACAGUACCGGUAGAGGAAGCCACGGCUAACUCCGUGCCAGCAGCCGCGGUAAUACGGAGGUGGCAAGCGUUACUCGGAUUGAUUGGGUGUAAAGGGUGUGUAGGUGGUGAAUUAAGUCGAAUGUGAAAUCCCUUGGCUUAACCAAGGAACUGCAAUCGAAACUGGUUCACUUGAGCGACGGAGAGGAAAGCGGAAUUCCCGGUGUAACAGUGAAAUGUGUAGAUAUCGGGAGGAACACCAGUGGCGAAGGCGGCUUUCUGGACGUUUGCUGACACUGAAACACGAGAGCUAGGGGAGCAAACAGG